CACCUGGCCAGGGUGGCGAAGCCCAGUCGCUCUCACUCCGCCAUGUGCGCUCAAUCCACGCUCACUCCUCCCUCCUCUCACUCUCGUACUCAUUCAUAAUUCACCCACCACCAAGAUAUCGAUUCCGAAUUCUUAUUAUCUAGUCGGAACUAGUAAGUUGUCGACGAUGCGGUGACGAAUGAAGAGGGACAUGUUAGUGUGACGGUGGUGACGUGAAUGAUGUUUGAAAAAUUGGUACCUGUUGUGGAGUACAGAUGGGUAGAGUGAUGGCGCCUAGAGUACAACAGUAGCUAGAGUGACAGUACUUACAUCUUGCCAGAGGGAGAGCUUGACAACUCCUACAGCCAACUUCCGAGAGUCAUAUGCCUGAAGGUGUGGUGGAGUCCAGGAUGCAGGUGGCGGACAGUGUGAGGUACAGGGAGGCUGUGACCAGGCUCAAGAGGCUACUGUACGAACCCCCAGGCUCGGAGUCGCCCUCUACACCACCCCACAAAGACUCUCACUACCACACAACCACCAAUUCCGUCCACCACACCGCCACUACCAACUCCCUCCACCACCACACAUACCACGCCUCAGUCAGUUCAGAUGUGGGUGGAGUCCGUGGUGUGGGCGUGGGCGGGGUGGAGGGGCCGUCACGCUGGCUGUUGGAACUACUGAGGCACCAGGAAGAACUUAUAGCCCAGCUGGAGAAGGAGAAUGAUUUCCUGAAGAGGGAGGUGUUGUCGGUGGGUGAGGGGGUGAAGGCGAUGGGUCAGGAAAAUCAAGAACUCAAUCGUCGCCUGGCUGAUGCCCUCUCUCAAGCCAUCGCUAUGGGGGAGCAUCUGGACACCACCAUCACCUCCAGCAGUAGUAGCGAGAGAGAGAGCGGGGACAAAGACACUGUUAACUCCAGGAUAGCUACUCUUACUCGGGAGAAGGCGGCGCUAGCAGACCAGGUGAGCCGCCUCGAUGCCUCCCUGACAGCCAUGACCAAGAGAGAGCAGGAGGCGUUGACAAAACUUAGACAAGCUCUCACACUCGCCGAGGACACACACUCACACACAGCCCAGGUUCGUGCCAGUAGCGAAUCGGCCAUAGAAGAGCUGACUGUCCUGCUGACGGCGACGAAGCAGGAGGGACAAGAGCUCCGGAGACUACUGGACGAAGCGGACAUGAAGCAGAAGCGGCAGCAGGAGCAGAAGGACGAGCAGGUAACCCAUCAACAGCAGAGGAUCAAGACCUUACAGGAUGCACGCGAUGCACAGGAGGAACUAUUGGCGAGGCUACGGCAGGAGGUGAGGGACGGGGAGAGGCGGGUGGCUGAUCUAGAGGACGACCUGAAGGCGGCUAGGGCGGCCAGGACCCGUCUGGAGGCUCAGCUGGAGGAACAGAGACAGCACUCCAGGGACGCCCACGCCAGGCUCGACCAGAUCAUCAUCACGAGGAGCGGGGAGGCGGCAGCCGGGACAGCCAGAGCGAGGGAACUGGAGGAGAGAUUGACAGUUGCCAGGGAGGACACGUCAAGGCUCCUGCAAGCUGUCACCACCCUUGCCCAGGGCGGCCGGAAUGUAGAAGCAGACACCACUGACGAUGUUAAGAGCGAGCGUCUGGCAGCGGGACAGCAGCUGGGGGCGGCCCUGACAGCCCUCCAGUCCCGUCAUGAGGAGGAGGUGACGUCACUGCAGGAGGCGGCGAGACAACAGAGCCAAGCCAUGGAGGCCCUGAGGGAGGAGGUCACCAUGAUGAGGCAGCAGUUGGCUCUUGACAGCGAGAACUACAGGACACGGCUGGAGGAGGUGGGUCGAGGUCUGGCUGCCCUUGCCUCUACUACUACUGCUGCUACCUCGCCAUCGCUACCCACCCAACAUGAUGACAACACAAGGGCUCCUGAGGGCGUAUCAGAGGGUGAUAGUCGACUGCCCUCCACACCUGCAGUUCCAAACACCACUACCACGUUGCCUUCUACCGAUCCUACUGCUGCUGCUGCCACUACACCAGGCGUCCCCGACACCAGCAUACCAAACACACAGGAGAUAUCAGACUCACGAGAACUGACGGGAGACAACAGUGACAACACGAAGGUCGAGGAUGACGUUGUGCCCGAGGAUGACGUUGUGCCCAAGGAUGACGUUGUGCCUGAGGAUGACGUUGUGCCCAAGGAUGACGUUGUGCCUGAGGAUGACGUUGUGCCUGAGGAUGACGUUGUGCCCGAGGAUGACGUUGUGCCCAAGGAUGACGUUGUGCCCAAGGAUGACGUUGUGCCCGAGGAUGACGUUGUGCCCAAGGAUGACGUUGUGCCCGAGGAUGACGUUGUACCCGAGGAUGACAUAAAAGAAAAAACGGAAGAGACAGAAGAAAAAGAUAUCGAUAUAACAGAGAAGAAUGAAGAGGUGGAAGAGAAGAAUGAAGAGGUGGAAGACAAGACUGAAGACAAAGAUAUUGAUUCAGAAAAAGGAGAGAUGGAAGAGAGGAAGACUAAAGAAACGAAAGACAAGACGGGAGAGACAGAAGAAAAAGAUACAGAUACUACAGAGACCGAAGAAGGGAAAGACAAGACUGAAGAGAAAGAUGAGUCGAGAGGAAACAAUGAGAAAGACGACGAAGGAGGAACUAGACCGGAAGACGAUAACGCGAGACAGGGUGAGACAACUGCAGGAGACAACAAGGACUCAACACUCAAAGUAGAUAAUAAUGGAGAAAAGGAAGAUUCGAGAAGUAAGGGAGAGAAAGAAGGCAAAGCAGGAGAUAAAGAAGGUAUAAGUGAAGAUUCCAGCGAAGUAAGGAAGGGUGAUGACGCAAAACCUGGCUACGGUGGAGCAGAAGAGGGUAAGACGGAGUGCGGUAAAUGUGUGACCUUGAUGAUGAUCUUAGAGGUUGUGGGAGGCGUCGUCGAUGGUCUACAAGUGGACAUGAACAAACAGGAGACUCGCCUGGGACGGUUAAUCCAGCGGUACAGCUCACAGUGUGAAAACUGCCUCAAGUACCAGUUUAUGCUGUGGGCCGCCGACAACAGACUAAAUAGUGUUGACAAGUAUACUCACUUGCUGGGGGACAGGAUUGAUGCACUAUCUCGCAGGUGGGCUGUUACAAGCCUCUAUAAUAUACAACACACCAGUUAUAGGCUAGACUGCCUGACUGUACUGCAUAGCUAGUUGCAUGCGGGUGUCAGCUGGGGCCGGAUUCUCCAAGGUUUGAGGGGUUACUGGAUGAGUGAGCACACAACUUUGAUAGAAUCUUGAAUUAGAAACUUCAUUUUCCACUUAUUGGAUACAGUACACGAAAGCGCGUUUAGUUGUGACACUUUUUGCUUCUUAAAUUCUUACAUUUACCCUCAGCUGUAUAGGCAAGACAACAUACUGUGUAACGUUAGCGUCUCUAGACCAAUUUCGAAACCAUUAUGGCCGCCAGCUUUGUAUCAGUGUGUUAGUGAGCCAGACAGAUGCAUCUGUGUCACCAGUUGUGGUAAACUUUAACGCACGAACCUUUGAGUAUUCGGGGCCCAAGUGUUCCAAAAUUGUUGUUAACUUGGAUGGUAGUGAGUUAAGUGACCAGUGCUUCCACGUUUGUUUUUAAAAGUUCUGAGCUGCUAGAGUUGGUGAGAGCUGCGACCCUUGAGAGAGACACACUACGGCAGGAAGUGACUUACCUACGGCGGGUUGCUGCGGCUGCCAUCACCUCUGGA
rnacentral:misc_RNA from 1 species